rnacentral:rRNA from 1 species
AUUGAACGCUGGCGGCAUGCUUUACACAUGCAAGUCGAACGGCAGCGGGGAGGAGCUUGCUUCUCUGCCGGCGAGUGGCGAACGGGUGAGUAAUACAUCGGAACGUGUCGAGAAGAGGGGGAUAACCACCCGAAAGGGUGGCUAAUACCGCAUAAAUUCUGAGGAAGAAAGCUGGGGACCUAGGAAUAGGCCUAGCGCUUUUUGAGCGGCCGAUGUCGGAUUAGCUAGUUGGUGAGGUAAAGGCUCACCAAGGCGAAGAUCUGUAGCGGGUCUGAGAGGAUGAUCCGCCACACUGGGACUGAGACACGGCCCAGACUCCUACGGGAGGCAGCAGUGGGGAAUUUUGGACAAUGGGGGCAACCCUGAUCCAGCCAUGCCGCGUGUAUGAAGAAGGCCUUAGGGUUGUGAAGUACUUUUGUUAGGGAAGAAAAGUCAGCUGUGAAUAAUGGCUGAUACUGACGGUACCUAAAGAAUAAGCACCGGCUAACUACGUG